rnacentral:tRNA from 1 species
ACCGGAGCCUUGCUCGGGGCUUGGGGCUUGGGGCUUGGGGCUCGGGGCUCGGGGCUCGGGUUCGGGCUCGGGCUCGGGGUCCGGGCGUCGGUACC